ACGAGUGGCGGACGGGGGAGUAAUGUCUGGGAAACGUGCCCGAUGGGGGGGGAUAACUACUGGAAACGGUAGCUAAUACCGCAUAACGUCGCAAGACCAAAGAGGGGGACCUUCGGGCCUCUUGCCAUCGGAUGUGCCCAGAUGGGAUUAGCUAGUAGGUGGGGUAACGGCUCACCUAGGCGACGAUCCCUAGCUGGUCUGAGAGGAUGACCAGCCACACUGGAACUGAGACACGGUCCAG
rnacentral:rRNA from 1 species